UCAGGACGAACGCUGGCGGCGUGCUUAACACAUGCAAGUCGAACGGUGAUGAUGGGAGCUUGCUCUUGUCUGAUCAGUGGCGAACGGGUGAGUAACACGUGAGUAACCUGCCCCAGACUCUGGGAUAACCCCGGGAAACCGGAGCUAAUACCGGAUAUGACACCAAUCCGCAUGGGUAUGGUGUGGAAAGUUUUUCGGUCUGGGAUGGACUCGCGGCCUAUCAGCUUGUUGGUGAGGUAGUGGCUCACCAAGGCGACGACGGGUAGCCGGCCUGAGAGGGCGACCGGCCACACUGGGACUGAGACACGGCCCAGACUCCUACGGGAGGCAGCAGUGGGGAAUAUUGCACAAUGGGCGCAAGCCUGAUGCAGCGACGCCGCGUGAGGGAUGACGGCCUUCGGGUUGUAAACCUCUUUCAGCAGGGAAGAAGCGCAAGUGACGGUACCUGCAGAAGAAGCACCGGCUAACUACGUGCCAGCAGCCGCGGUAAUACGUAGGGUGCGAGCGUUGUCCGGAAUUAUUGGGCGUAAAGAGCUUGUAGGUGGUUUGUCGCGUCUGCUGUGAAAAUCCGAGGCUCAACCUCGGACUUGCAGUGGGUACGGGCAGACUAGAGUGUGGUAGGGGAGACUGGAAUUCCUGGUGUAGCGGUGGAAUGCGCAGAUAUCAGGAGGAACACCGAUGGCGAAGGCAGGUCUCUGGGCCAUUACUGACAC
rnacentral:rRNA from 1 species